rnacentral:rRNA from 1 species
GGCGUGCUUAACACAUGCAAGUCGAACGAUGAAGCCUGCAACUUGUUGUGGGUGGAUUAGUGGCGAACGGGUGAGUAAUACGUGSGUAACCUGCCCUCCUUUUUGGGAUAAGCCUUGSAAACGGGGUCUAAUYMCKAAUAUUCUGGAUGAUUCRCAUGGAUUGUUUGGGAAAGCUUUUGUGAAGGGGGAUGGGCUCGCGGCCUAUCAGCUUGUUGGUGGGGUGAUGGCCUACCAAGGCGGUGACGGGUAGCCGGCCUGAGAGGGUGACCGGCCACAUUGGGACUGAGAUACGGCCCAGACUCCUACGGGAGGCAGCAGUGGGGGAUAUUGCACAMMGRGCGAAAGCCUGMUGCAGCSACSCCSCSUGGGGGAUGAAGGMUUUCKGGUUGUAAACCUCUUUCKYUAUCKAACAAGGCCUGCUUUUUGUGGGUUGRGGGUAGGUGGRGAAGAARCGCCGGCUAACUAMGUGCCAGCAGCCGCGGUAAUACGUAGGGCGCGAGCGUUGUCCGGAAUUAUUGGKCGUAAAGGGCUUGUWKGCGGCUUGUUGCGCCUGCUGUGAAAACGCGGGGCUUAACUUC